AUACGGAGGGAGCGAGCGUUAAUCGGAAUUACUGGGCGUAAAGCGCGCGUAGGCGGCUUUGUCAGUCGGAUGUGAAAGCCCUGGGCUCAACCUGGGAAUGGCAUUCGAUACUGCAGAGCUAGAGUAUGGUAGAGGGAAGUGGAAUUUCCGGUGUAGCGGUGAAAUGCGUAGAUAUCGGAAGGAACACCAGUGGCGAAGGCGACUUCCUGGGCCAAUACUGACACUGAGGUGCGAAAGCGUGGGGAGCAAACAGUAUUAGAAACCCCAGUAGUCC
rnacentral:rRNA from 1 species